CCUCCCCAAUCCGUGUCUUCUCCUCUUUCCCCCAAUCCUAUCUCCUCCACCCGACCCUCCUGCUCCCACCCGCUCCGACGACCGCCCCCCACUUUCUCCACCCAGCCGGCUGCAGCCCCGCCGGCCGGAGGCCAUGGCGGAACCAUACGCGACGGAAGGGCUGCAGCCCAGCCUGGAAGCGGCACUGGAGAUGGAGGAUCUCCUCCAUAGCUUCGUUCCUCCACAACUUCGUUUCUUCGGGAUAUGCUGACCAGCCGGAUGCCUUGGCUUGCAGGACGACGAAGAGCUCAACGAGGGAUGGGGAGGCGGCAGUACAUCAAUCGGCGCGAGCUCGUGAGGGGAGAAGAUCAUGGCGGCUAGGGUUUCCACAACAGGUCACUAGCCCGCAGUUCCUCCCUGCAGAUUGGCCCAAAUCAGGUCAGAGCGGCGCGACGGCAGCCUCCUGGUAGUAUUGGUGAUGAUGCCAUGGCUAGACCCUAUGGUUGCUUGGUCGGCCAGAUCUGGUCGGCUGGUUCUUCCUCCUCCUUUUCAUUGGUCUCCCCAUGUAAGGUUCUGAUUUCUUUUGCUAAGAUCAAUUACACCUGGGUGGCGACAACUGAAGUGACAAAGAGGAUAAUAGCCAUCUUUCCAUAAGGCCAUGGGAAAAUGAAGUGUGGCAAUUGUGCUAAUCCUUGAGUGCAAGCAACUCUCUGGAGAGUUGAUCGUGUGUUUGGAAGAGGUGUCCCAGGAUGGUUCUGUAUUAGGUCUGCGAAAGGAUAAGAUUCUAGCAGAAGGGAUUAGCGAAGAAGAAGACCAAGGUGAUUUCACUCUCUAAUGUUUUCCGUGUAGUUGGGAAAUAAGACCAAGAAGAAGACCAAGGUGCUAGCUGACAUGGUCCCAUUUGGUUUUCGAGGGCGCUGGUGACAGACGGUGACGUUGUGAUCUCCUUAUAUCGGUUCUUUCAUGUCUCUGUACCAUGGAACCUAUUCAUGUUUCCUUUUUGUCUUUUGAGGUAACUAAGUUCAAAAAUGAUCUAAAUAAGCUUAUCCAUGAGGAGCAUGAGGAGCAGCUCUGCUUUUGAGGCUGCGGCCACAGACCUCCCCGUCCCCUGCAGCGACUGGCAAUUUGAGGCGACAGCCAUGCUCCUUACUCUCUUUCUUGAUCCGGACAUGCCUUAAUAAUGGAGUCAGAUCUACUCAUUAGGCAGAAGGAAGUGAGGAACAAAGGAGAGCAUAUUGUUAACGGCCAAGAUUCACCAUCUGACAAGAUUUAUGUGGAGUCCCUGCUCAACAGUGUGCUCUGGAGCUCUGCGCCACGACCGACAAAGUGGGAGACAUGCAGCACUUCAUGCUGGCUACCACUUCCCUCCAUCAGCUCUUAGGUGUAAGACGGUCAUUGCUGCUCUAUUCAAGGAGGGGAAGACAUCAAAGCAAAAUAGUAGAAAAGAAAUGCUAUUUGCUCUCCCUAAUGAUUUUGUUAUAGUAGGCAAUCAAGUUCCUUUCGAUGACUGUAUUGAGAUGUGUCUUGUACCCAGAGGGAGUUCGCAUACCUAAAAUUGAAUGCUUUAUCUGCAGGGAGACUUCAAGCACGUGGAGGACAUGAAGCACAUGGUGGCCUCCGAGACGCUCCCCGACUCCGACCAGAAGCUGCAGUAUAUUGCACCACCUGACAGAUUGGUUGCCAUCUGCUCGGCAACAUUGGGUAUCUGUGCAAUUAGGUAGUGUAUACCGUAGCUCAGACAAUCACCAAAAGGGGUGGGAUUGGACACCCUGUAGCAAACAAGGUUUAGGAGCCACUUGUGCAUUGCAGUUGUUGUAGCACAAAUGUCGUCUUCCUUCACAUAUUUACUGUCGAACUCCACUUUAUUAAAUAGGAUGAUGAUGUGAACAUCUUUAGUUUCGGAGAUCUUUUGCACACAGGAGUCAUUAUUUUGUAACUUGAAUGUGUAGGUUCUUCACGAAUUUCAGUCAGGACAAUCUGCUGACUAUAUAAACAUCAGAUAUUGCGCCACAUGCCACCAGCUCAAGAAGAGUCGCACCUUGAAAAAAUAGUGUCAUGACCUGGCAGGAUGUCGUGCUACGCCGAAUACUACUGUUAUGUCUGGUGGCCAAGAUGACAAUUGCGUGUUCCUAAAAUGAGAUUAUACAGGGAAACCUUAUGAAUCAAGUAGUGCGCUGAUGAGGUUAAUAGGUUUUUAUGGACGUGAGAGGGAUAAGCUUCAGCUACGUAUUCCGAACAAGGUUAUAUUGAGGCUUGGACAUACCAGAGAUCAACCCGUCGAGAAGCAUGCAUAUACCAGGAAACCAAAGAAACAGCCUAGAAGCAUGCGGUUUGUCCAGGACGAGCACUGCACCUGCAAUGGAAAAUAUAAGCCACUUAUCUACACUGCCAGAAGUAUCUACAUUAGCUCCAAGAAAAAACACUUGGUUAAUAUGGAGCACUCCUGGUCUACUGUAAUAUUAACAAUCGCUCUGUAAUUGUAACAAGUUCCUCUCUUGGUUUGCUAUCAUGGCUACUACACUGGGAUAAUAGUGUUUUCAUACAAUGUUGAGUUUCAUGCUACACCAUAUGCUUCGAAUCGACACAUGAAUAUAUAGAUCCAGCCUGACUCAAUCA